GAUGAACGCUGGCGGCGUGCCUAAUACAUGCAAGUCGAGCGAACAGACGAGGAGCUUGCUCCUCUGACGUUAGCGGCGGACGGGUGAGUAACACGUGGAUAACCUACCUAUAAGACUGGGAUAACUUCGGGAAACCGGAGCUAAUACCGGAUAAUAUAUUGAACCGCAUGGUUCAAUAGUGAAAGACGGUUUUGCUGUCACUUAUAGAUGGAUCCGCGCCGCAUUAGCUAGUUGGUAAGGUAACGGCUUACCGAGGCAACGAUGCGUAGCCGACCUGAGAGGGUGAUCGGCCACACCGGAACUGAGACACGGUCCAGACUCCUACGGGAGGCAGCAGUAGGGAAUCUUCCGCAAUGGGCGAAAGCUUGACGGAGCAACGCCGCGUGAGUGAUGAAGGUCUUCGGAUCGUAAAACUCUGUUAUUAGGGAAGAACAAAUGUGUAAGUAACUAUGCACGUCUUGACGGUACCUAAUCAGAAAGCCACGGCUAACUACGUG
rnacentral:rRNA from 1 species